rnacentral:rRNA from 1 species
AAGUACGGUGGCGCCACGACCUCGUGAGGUAGCCGCCUAAAGAGUGACUGGUGACUGGGGUG